rnacentral:rRNA from 1 species
UACGUAGGGUGCGAGCGUUGUCCGGAAUUAUUGGGCGUAAAGGGCUCGUAGGCGGUCUGUUGCGUCGGGAGUGAAAACUCAGGGCUUAACCCUGAGCCUGCUUCCGAUACGGGCAGACUAGAGGUAUGCAGGGGAGAACGGAAUUCCUGGUGUAGCGGUGAAAUGCGCAGAUAUCAGGAGGAACACCGGUAGCGAAGGCGGUUCUCUGGGCAUUACCUGACGCUGAGGGGCGAAAGUGUGGGGAGCGAACAGG